rnacentral:rRNA from 1 species
UGGGGAAUCUUGCAUAAUGGGGGCAACCCUGAUGCAGCGACGCCGCGUGAGCGAUGAAGCCCUUCGGGGUGUAAAGCUCUUUCGGCAGGGAAGAAAAAUGACGGUACCUGCAGAAGCAGCUGCGGCUAACUACGUGCCAGCAGCCGCGGUAAUACGUAGGCAGCGAGCGUUGUUCGGAGUUACUGGGCGUAAAGGGUGCGUAGGCGGUCCUUUAAGUUUGGUGUGAAAUCUCCCGGCUCAACUAGGAGGGUGCGCCGGAUACUGAGGGACUAGAGUGUGGGAGAGGAAAGUGGAAUUCCUGGUGUAGCGGUGAAAUGCGUAGAUAUCAGGAGGAACACCUGUGGUGUAGACAGCUUACUGGACCACUUCUGACGCUGAGACACGAAAGCGUGGGUAGCAAACAGGAUUAGAUACCCUGGUAGUCCACGCCCUAAACGAUGCAUACUUGGUGUGAGCGAUUCAUUUCGUUCGUGCCGGAGCUAACGCGUUAAGUAUGCCGCCUGGGGAGUACGGUCGCAAGACUG